ensembl:lncRNA
AAAGAACUCUCCUUUAUGGGGCCCUUUGCAUGUGUCAGGUCUUGAGCUAAGCAGUUUAUAACUAUUAUAACACAAUCUUAAUCUUAACUAAAACCCCACAAGGAGGGUGCAGCUCUUUGCAUUUUGCAGUUGAGGAAACUGAGAAGCAGAUAGUUUGCAUAAUGGCUAAUUGCUUUUGGCUUUUUAAAAAUGCAUUCUAAGGAAGGUGCCAAGUUUCUGGGUGGGAACUCAAGCUAAGGGACCAGUAAUGAUCUUAAAUUUCAAUGUUAGUCCUUCGUGUCAUCACUGGCCUAGCUCCAGCUCCAAUCGUGCAGCUUUGCUGGGAUUUUCAAGUUUUCUUCAUCAGGAUGAGAUCUAUUCAAAUGUAGGAGAGAGCUUCAGGUCACAUGGUCCAGCCCUGGAUAUCCAAGCUGUCUUGAAUUCGGUUUGGGGUCAAGACUACAGCCCAUGGGAUGGGUGCAAGUCCAGGCUCCACUCACAUCAUGAACCUGGAAGACUAUCAGGGUGGCCUGCCUGGAGCAACAGGAUGAGCUUGGACGUCAAGGUCAGCGGUGGUGCACGGGAACUCGCACCGCUCAGGGGAGCAGACUGUGCCCGUGUCUUCCCAACUCCAUGGUCAACGGCAUCAGGUUGGCAGCUUGAAAUCAGCCGUGGUGGGAGUAUUCGUAUCAUGCAGGCAGGCAAACUGCAAGUCGGUGCUGUAUCUUUUGUUCGGAGGGCCGGCUGUUAAACAUUAACCAGCACCACACGGGAGGGAGGUUCAAAUCCUGGCUGGCCCAUCGUGAUGACGGUCAUGGGAAACUUAUUUAACUUUCCUCAAUAGUUUCCCUAUUAAAAAUGGAGACGAAACACUUUCCAG